rnacentral:rRNA from 1 species
GGUACCCGCCGAGUUUAAGCAUAUAACUAAGCGGAGGAAGAGAAACUUACGAGGAUUCCCCUAGUAACGGCGAGCGAACGGGGAUGAGCCCAGCGUGAAAAUCUGGCGGCCGUGGCCGCCCGAAUUGUAGUCUGCAGAAGCGUCCCCUGCGGCGGACCGAGCCUAAGUCCCCUGGAACGGGGCGCCGGAGAGGGUGACAGCCCCAUCGGGCUCGGACCCUGCUGCAUCACGGGGCGCUAUCGGCGAGUCGGGUUGUUUGGGAAUGCAGCCCUAAGCGGGUGGUAAAUUCCGUCCAAGGCUAAAUACGCGCGAGAGACCGAUAGCGAACAAGUACCGCGAGGGAAAGAUGAAAAGGACUUUGAAAAGAGAGUUAAAAAGUGCUUGAAAUUGUCGAGAGGGAAGCGGAUGGAGGCCAACGUUGCUUCCCGGCCGGACGUGGAGCGGAGCGUGUACGCUUCGGUCCGCCGCUCGGUCCGGGAGGCGAGUCCGCGUGGAUCGGCGCGGUGGCACAAGCGUGCGCAGCUGGCUGCGCGCGUGCUGCCGCUGCGACGGUCGAGGGCCCAAGCGCGCGUCCCCUGGAGGGGCGGGUCCUGCGGCGCCUGCGCGCUCGGGACGCGGAUUGCGUGGGCUUUCCAUUCGACCCGUCUUGAAACACGGACCAAGGAGUCUAACAUGCGUGCGAGUCGUCGGGUUUGGAAACCCGCACGGCGCAAGGAAGCUGAAAGUCGGGAUCCGUGCGCGGGCGCGGAGCACCGUCCACCGACCUCGAUCUUGUUGAGAAGGGUUCGAGUGAGAGC